CGAACGCUGGCGGCAGGCUUAACACAUGCAAAUCGAACGCCCCGCAAGGGGAGUGGCAGACGGGUGAGUAACGCGUGGGAACAUACCCUUUUCUACGGAAUAGCUCUGGGAAACUGGAAUUAAUACCGUAUACGCCCUACGGGGGAAAGAUUUAUCGGGGAAGGAUUGGCCCGCGUUGGAUUAGCUAGUUGGUGGGGUAAAGGCCUACCAAGGCGACGAUCCAUAGCUGGUCUGAGAGGAUGAUCAGCCACAUUGGGACUGAGACACGGCCCAAACUCCUACGGGAGGCAGCAGUGGGGAAUAUUGGACAAUGGGCGCAAGCCUGAUCCAGCCAUGCCGCGUGAGUGAUGAAGGCCUUAGGGUUGUAAAGCUCUUUCACCGAUGAAGAUAAUGACGGUAGUCGGAGAAGAAGCCCCGGCUAACUUCGUG
rnacentral:rRNA from 1 species